rnacentral:rRNA from 1 species
GAAUUUUGGACAAUGGGCGAAAGCCUGAUCCAGCAAUGCCGCGUGCAGGAUGAAGGCCUUCGGGUUGUAAACUGCUUUUGUACGGAACGAAAAGCUUUGGGUUAAUACCCUGGAGUCAUGACGGUACCGUAAGACUAAGCACCGGCUCACUACGUUCCCGCAGCCGCGGUAAUACGUAGGGGCAAAGCGUUCAUCGGAAUUACGGGGCGUAAAGCGUGCGCAGGCGGUUUUGUAAGACAGAGGUGAAAUCCCCGGGCUCAACCUGGGAACUGCCUGUGUGACUGCAAGGCUAGAGUACGGCAGAGGGGGGUGGAAUUCCGCGUGAAGCAGUGAAAUGCGUAGAUAUGCGGAGGAACACCGAUGGCGAAGGCAACCCCCUGGGCCUGUACUGACGCUCAUGCACGAAAGCGUGGGGAGCAAACAG